AGGUAAAAUUCCAUGAUCGCCAUAAGAUGCACGAGAGCGAAAGCAUUUCACUCAAUUGCGUUCAUUAAUCAAGAACGAAAGUUAGGGGAUCGAAGACGAUUAGAUACCGUCGUAGUCCUAACUAUAAACGAUGUCAACCAAGGAUUGGAUUAGUUUUAGAGUGACAGAAGUCCGGUAACACUGUUACUGGGCUGACGGAUCUCGCUUCCACCUUAUUCAGAACUUAAAGAGAAAUCUUGAGUUUAUGGACUUCAGGGGGAGUAUGGUCACAAGGCUGAAACUUAAAGGAAUUGACGGAAGGGCACACCAGGAGUGGAGCCUGCGGCUUAAUUUGACUCAACACGGGAAAACUUACCAAGACCGAACAGUAUUAGGAAUGACAGAUUAAGGGUUCUUUCAUGAUUUAUUGGGUAGUGGUGCAUGGCCGUUCUUAGUUGGUGGAGUGAUUUGUCAGGUUAAUUCCGGUAACGAACGAGACUGAAGCCUAUUAAUUAGUUUCUCGCCUAUAAGACGGGAAUGUCCGCAAGGAUGGAUGCUUUUGCAUCACUUCUUAAAGGGACUAAUAUCAAUUGUUUCUCGGUUGAUCAGUGCGACCAUCUCGAUGGUACCUUUUCAAUCGGAAAAAAAGAUAAUGGAAGCAUUCAGCAAUAACAGGUCUGUGAUGCCCUUAGACAUCUUGGGCUGCACGCGCGCUACAAUGGAGAUACUAGCGAGUAUUUGUCGGGAAUGCUCGGUUUAUCGGCUCUGUCGGUGAAUCGAGAUUUUCUCCGGUGUACCGAGACUGAAAUAGUUUAGGAAAACU
rnacentral:rRNA from 1 species